UCUCUCUCAGCUGCCGACCUCGGCAACGAGCUCACCCACACGCCUCUGCUGCCAGAAGAUUGCCCGCAGAAUCAUGUAUUUCGGAGACGAAAGAAGGAGUUUGAUAACACCGAAGAGAUGGAACUUGCACCUAUAACAAUGAGUGGUAGCUCAGCUUUGAGGAUGUUGCAGGGCAGAGUGUUUGUCUUAGGAAAAAAGGUUGUUGUGGCAAAGAAAGGGAAAGGGAAAAAGAAGGGCAAAGACAGUGAAAAAGGAACUGAAGGUCCUGAAAAACAGAAGCGUAAAAGAGCGCCUAACAAGAAAUCAGGUAACGUCGCACGUAAACCUGAAAAGAAGCCUGAGGAUUGUUUCAAAAAGAAGUCGAUAUUCUUUGAUUUGGAAUACUGGGAGCACAACAAGUUAAGGCACAAUCUAGAUGUCAUGCAUAUUGAGAAAAAUGUCUUUGAAAAUUUAAUUGGAACCUUACUGGAUAUUGAUUCUAAAACAAAGGAUGGCCUUAAUGCACGACUUGACUUGGGAGAAAUUGGAAUUCGAUCUAGCCUUCAACCUCAUGAAGGUGAUAAGGGUAAAACUGAAUUGCCGCAUGCACCUUUUAAUAUGUAUAAAGAAAAGAAGGAGAUUCUUUGUACAGUGAUUAAGAAUUGUAGGACACCUGAUGGUUGUGCAUCAAACUUUUCAAGGUGUGUGAACAUGAAAGAAUUGACAUUGACUGGCCUCAAAAGCCACGACUGCCAUGUUAUUCUACAAGACAUCCUUCCUGUGGCACUUUUACACUGUUAUCCCAGUAAAGAUGUCAUGAUAUUAGUUGUUGAGCUGGCUAAUUUCUUCAAGAAACUAUGCUCCAAAGUGUUAGAUUUCUCUGAGCUUGACAAACUGCAAGAGAGUAUUGUGAAGACACUUUGUAAUAUGGAAAAGGUUUUUCUUCCAUCGUUUUUUACUGUCAUGGUACAUUUAAUGGUGCAUUUAGUUGAAGAAGCUAAACUUGGUGGCCCGGUGCAUUACAGGUGGAUGUACCCUCUAGAGAGAUCAUUUGUUUGGCUAAAGUCACUUGUGCGCAAUAGAGCUUAUCCUGAAGGUUCUAUUGCUGAAGGAUAUACUGUUGAAGAAUGCUUGACCUUUUGUUCAAGAUUUCUAGAAGGAACCACACGUUUCACAAGAACAUCUAGGAACCCUGAUCCUUCAGAUAAUACAAAGGGCAUGUACAUGUUUGAUAGUGUUGGUGAGCCAAUUGGAAAGGCUGUCACUAUAGGCCAAUUGGACGAUCAGCUUCUAGUUCAAGCACAUCGAUGUGUCUUGCGACACU
rnacentral:rRNA from 1 species